GUCAGUAUAGUUUAACUAAGACGUUAGAUUGUGAUUCUAGAAAUGGGGGUUAGAAUCCCCUUACUCACC
rnacentral:tRNA from 1 species